rnacentral:rRNA from 1 species
GCCCAGACUCCUACGGGAGGCAGCAGUGGGGAAUAUUGCACAAUGGGGGAAACCCUGAUGCAGCGACGCCGCGUGAGUGAAGAAGUAUUUCGGUAUGUAAAGCUCUAUCAGCAGGGAAGAAAAUGACGGUACCUGAUUAAGAAGCCCCGGCUAACUACGUGCCAGCAGCCGCGGUAAUACGUAGGGGGCAAGCGUUAUCCGGAUUUACUGGGUGUAAAGGGAGCGUAGACGGCAAUACAAGUCGGAAGUGAAAUACCCGGGCUUAACCCCGGAACUGCUUUGGAAACUGUGCAGCUAGAGUGCAGGAGAGGUAAGUGGAAUUCCUAGUGUAGCGGUGAAAUGCGUAGAUAUUAGGAGGAACACCAGUGGCGAAGGCGGCUUACUGGACUGUAACUGACGUUGAGGCUCGAAAGCGUGGGGAGCAAACAGGAUUAGAUACCCCAGUU